rnacentral:rRNA from 1 species
CCUACGGGUGGCAGCAGUAGGGAAUAUUGCUCAAUGGGGGAAACCCUGAAGCAGCAACGUCGCGUGGAGGAUGAAGGUUUUCGGGUUGUAAACUCCUUUUGUUAGAGAAGAUAAUGACGCCAUCUAACGAAUAAGCACCGGCUAACUCCGUGCCAGCAGCCGCGGUAAGACGGAGGGUGGAAGCGUUACUCUGAAUCACUGGGCGUAAAGAGCGCGUAGGCGGGAUAGCAAGUCAGAUGUGCAAUCCUAUGGCUUAACCAUAGAACUGCAUUUGAAACUGGUAUUCUAGAGUAUGGGAGAGGUAGGUGGAAUUCUUGGUGUAGCGGUGAAAUCCGUAGAGAUCAAGAGGAAUACUGAUUGCGAAGGCGGCCUGCUAGAACAUAACUGACGCUGAUGCGCGAAAGCGUGGGGAGCAAACAGGAUUAGAUACCCUUGUAGUC